rnacentral:rRNA from 1 species
AAUGAACGCUGGCGGCAGGCCUAAAGCAUGCAAGUCGAACGGUAACAGGUCUUCGGAUGCUGACGAGUGGCGCACGGGUGAGUAACACGUGGGAAUAUGCCUUUUGGUACGGAACAACAGUUGGAAACGACUGCUAAUAACGUAUGGUCCCUUCGGGGUAAAGAUUUAUCGCCAAAAGAUUAGCCCGCGUUGGAUUAGCUAGUGGGUAGGGUAAUGGCCUACCAAGGCUACGAUCUAUAGCUGGUCUGAGAGGAUGAUCAGCCACACUGGAACUGAGACACGGUCCAGACUCCUACGGGAGGCAGCAGUUAGGAAUAUUGGACAAUGGGCGCAAGCCUGAUCCAGCCAUGCCGCGUGAGUGAUGAAGGCCUUCGGGUUGUAAAGCUCUUUAGCCGACGAAUAUAAUGACUGUAGUCGGAAAAUAAGCCCCGGCUAACUUCGUGCCAGCCGCCGCCAUAA